GUGAAGUCAGGUCAUCGCGCUCUUAUUGUGAAGUCAGGUCAUCGCGCUCUUAUUGUGAAGUCAGGUCAUCGCGCUCUUAUUGUGAAGUCAGGUCAUCGCGCUGUUAUUGUGAAGCCAGGUCAUCGCGCUCUCAUCGCGCUCUUAUUGUGAAGUCAGGUCAUCGCGCUCUUAUUGUGAAGUCAGGUCAUCGCGCUCUUAUUGUGAAGUCAGGUCAUCGCGCUGUUAUUGUGAAGUCAGGUCAUCGCGCUCUUAUUGUGAAGUCAGGUCAUCGCGCUCUUAUUGUGAAGUCAGGUCAUCGCGCUCUUAUUGUGAAGUCAGGUCAUCGCGCUCUUAUUGUGAAGUCAGGUCAUCGCGCUCUUAUUGUGAAGUCAGGUCAUCGCGCUCUCAUCGCGCUGUUAUUGUGAAGCCAGGUCAUCGCGCUGUUAUUGUGAAGUCAGGUCAUCGCGCUGUUAUUGUGAAGUCAGGUCAUCGCGCUGUUAUUGUGAAGUCAGGUCAUCGCGCUGUUAUUGUGAAGUCAGGUCAUCGCGCUCUCAUCGCGCUGUUAUUGUGAAGUCAGGUCAUCGCGCUGUUAUUGUGAAGCCAGGUCAUCGCGCUCUCAUCGCGCUGUUAUUGUGAAGUCAGGUCAUCGCGCUCUUAUUGUGAAGUCAGGUCAUCGCGCUCUUAUUGUGAAGUCAGGUCAUCGCGCUGUUAUUGUGAAGCCAGGUCAUCGCGCUCUUAUUGUGAAGUCAGGUCAUCGCGCUGUUAUUGUGAAGUCAGGUCAUCGCGCUCUUAUUGUGAAGUCAGGUCAUCGCGCUCUUAUUGUGAAGUCAGGUCAUCG